CCUCCACCCAAGGCCGGCGCCCUCCCCUCCCUCAUUGGCCACUGCGGCGCCUACCGAGGUAUCCAUGGAUGCCACUAGCCUUCUCCUGAGGCGGUUAGAACGCGGAGGAGGUCGGCGCAAUUCUCUCCUUUACGAGAUAGAUGAUGGCGCGGAGGAUUUCAUCAAGCCCUCCUCUCCCUCCCGAAGCGUUGCCGGAGCCUAGGCGGCCUUCCUUGUGGUACGCGCAUCGGGGCUAGAGUUCCAGCAGGGCUUGAUCCGGUGGAACUACAGCGGCCGUAUCUUCUUCUAGCCGACGCAGGCCAUCCGCGACCUCGCCGUGAAGCUCAAGCCGCCCCCCGUGCACGGCUUGUUCGGCGGCAAGAUCGUGGUGGUGGUGGACGACUACCUGGUGCGCGGCACGCCGACACCACGCCCAGCAAGAUCGUGCGGCUGCUCCACAGCCCGGCGCGCGAGGUGCACAUGCGCAUCGCCAGCCCGCCCGUGGUGGGGUCGUGCCUCUACAUCAUCGACAAGUCGAGCGACGGGGAGCUGAUACCGAACCAGAUGGGCCUGGAGGGCGCGCGCCAGUUGAUCGGCAGCGACUCCUUGCUUUCCUCUCGCUCGACGUGCUGCAUAGUAUAUACGGCGAGGAGGCGGGGGACUACCGCGAGUCCGGGAUGCCUGCUUCUCUCGCAAGUACACUCUGCUGCCGACACUGACCAAGCUGUCUAUCGAAUUCAAUGAGGAAGAUAGACUGACGCUUUGGUUGUCGGCUGUCUUAGUACUCGCUUGGGUGGACCUAGCGGAAAUGUAAUGGAGCGGCGUUUGGCCAUCGUGGGCACCGCUUUCUCUCUCCAUGUGGCCUCUCUCUAGAGAAAUCCAUGUCCAUCUCCCCCACCCUUCCGAGCCAAAUGCCCAAAACCCAGUACAUGUAAACCAAGCAAGAGCUGGAGGCGUCGGCAGCCAGCAAGGAGGAUUUCUCCAUUAAGAGGAUGGCCAAGAACGAAUCCAAACCUCAGGGGAUCCCGCCCUCCCAGGGCGGCAAGUAUGUCGGUUUUGGAUCCUCCCGCCACCCUCGGCCAAUAGGAACAAUGCGGCUUCCCAGGGUGAUGUCAACCAAGUCGUCUCCCAGGUAAACAAUCAUUUAUGCUAUCUACCAUAAUCUCGUGGUUGCGAUCUAACAGAUGUGCAAACAUUUCCACGGUAGUUGCUACAAUAUUGUAAGCACCACGUAACCUUUACUGGUUUUGAAAAGGGAAAAUCUACUGUAUCAUGAAGUUGGUAUCUUUAAAUCUGCAAAUGGUGGACUGCUAGCUAAAAAAUUUAGGGGAUGAAUGGCAAUGUUGUAAUCAUUAUUGAUUAUCAUCACAUACGGUUCCUUUUAGAGUUCUGCGACACCCAUCUUGGUUAUUUUGCACCAUGGAAUUUGUGAAGCAUAUGUGGUUAAAAAGCCCUUUCUAACUUAUGCAAAAUUGAGCUUUCAUACAUGUCUGAAAAGAAGGCACGCAAAGAAGUAUUUUUAUCUUUUAGAUUGAAUUAUUUUUGUCUUGGCCCGAUGGCCAAUAAGCUAUGUGGAGGAAUUCUGAUUUUUCAAUUCAUGUUACAUACGGAAACUGAGUCAGCAUCACAUUAUUUCCAGGGAUGGAUGUAUGUGAUUAUUCUUUAAAACUAUUUAAUUCCCGAUGAAUAGUAAAAAUAUUCUCUCUUUAUUUUUUCAAAGGAAAAUGAAUAGAAAUCUCCAUCACUAUUUAAUUAUUUAUCGUAUGGAUAUUUGUUUCCCAAGAAAAGAUAAGCAUAGUUGAUCAUUCACAUGGGCAUUACAAUGUUGUUACAGAGUAUUUUUAUUUUUUAGAUUGAAUUAUUUUUGUCUUGGCCUGACGCCCAAUAAGCUAUGUGGAGGAAUUCUGAUUUUUUCAUUCAUGUUACGUACGGAAACCGAGUCAGCAUCACAUUAUUUCCAGGGAUGGAUGUAUGUAAUUAUUCUUCAAAACUAUUUGAUUCCCGAUGAAUAGUCAAAAUAUUCUCUCUUUAUUUUUUCAAAGGAAAAUGAAUAGAAAUCUCCAUCACUAUUUAUCGUAUGGAUAUUUGUUUCCCAAGAAAAGGAAAGCAUAGUUGAUCAUUCACAUGGGCUUUACAAUGUUGUUACACUGUUUCUUGUUGUUGUUGCAAGUAAUGGAUAUUACAGUUUCAGCCUUGAUCCAUUUACUACUUAAGAAUGUUGUUAACUAACCAUAAGUUUAGAAAUCUUCUCUCUUUGUUUCGGAUAUUAGAGUCGCCUGAUUUGAUGACUUCCCAUGGCAAGAUGAAGGUAGAAGUUGGCAUUUGCAAAUACACUGUAAGAUGGAAAGUACAAGAAAUAUGUGAAAAGAUGCCAAUGAUAUUCUAAUACACAGGUUAGGCACUCAUAAUGUAUAUUCAUGUGGUUUAUUAUGUCAAUAGAAAAUACAUGAAACCACAUGUGCUCCUGAGAAGAAUCAGUGUCGUUGUAUCUUUGAUACUAUUGGUACUUUUGGUAGAAAAGAGAUGUGCAAACGGCAUACCUGUUUCUACUUAUUGUGUUGCCUUUGUUCAAGUUCCUUCUCUAUAUAGGUUGUGUUAUGCCUUUCUGUUUAGGAUGUGAGUAAUUUAAAAUAUUGAAUCUUUCUAUGAAUAUUGGAGAAGUGCAGUGUGAAUUGUUUGAUUGCAGUGCAUUACUAUUCGGUUUGUUGCCUUUGCCUAGGUUCCUUCUCUACAUGAGUAAUUUAUUAACUUGGAUUAUUGAACUUUGCAGUCUUUGGGUUCCCAGGAACCUUAUCAGUUGUGUAUACUUGAUUGGGCACAUAAAUGUUAUGACUGUUUGCAUUACCAAUUUCCUCCCGAACUUUAUAAGUAACCAUUUCUACACUACACAAGCUGUACCUUCUAACUAUUUAGGUUGAUACAUGUAUGCACUAACAGCCCACCUACGAGAUAGAUUUACAGAAUUAGAUAUGAACUAUGUAAAAUAAGUUUGUUAUCCAACUAAUUAAUUCUUAUCCGUGUAUGGAUAUAGCAUUUCUGAAAAUUCCUCUCAAACUGAAUAAAUAACCAUUUCUAGAAUACGUGAACUAACUGCAACUUCUAAAUAUUUUGGUAGUUUAGGUUAUUACAUGUACACACUAACUCCCGAGCUACUAUAUUUACAGAGACUAUAUAUGAGCUAUACAAAACAAGUUUGUUAUGAAGCUUCCAGUUCAGUAAGUUUACAGAUUUAGACCUUGUUGUAUUCUUGUGCUAACAAGACACGUAAAUACUGAAUUUUUUUAUGCCCAUAUAAGUAUCCAGAGCUAACCUGUUACUUAUGCUUAAAAUGGGUACUUGCACUGUUCCGCCAUCACAAAAGAUGCACGCUUCUUAUAGGUAGAGAAUCAUGAAUUCAUGCGAGCUGUAAGUGGUAUGGCUUCAGAACUUUCAUUUUUCAGUAACUUUCCAUUUUGUGGGUUUCAUUAGAUAGUUAGAAUUCCUUGAUUGCAGUAGCAGACCAUCUAUUACACCUGAUCAAAUAGCCUGCUGUGCAUGCUUCUUUGAUUCCUUCUCCUGGCUAUUAAACUCUUAUUUUAUAACCUGGCAUGGUUUUUCUUCUAACAGUGCUUAGGAACAUUUUAAUCUGAACUAUUCUGCCCUUUCUCUAGGAGAUUGCAAUGGGUCAUCAAGACUAUGGAGCAUGGCAACACAAGCAAUUCAGGCAACAACACUCCGUAUUCAUUGCAAUUCUAUCUUCUUGGAAGAAGUUAUCUUGCAAGCUGAACCAACUAAGAAAAGGUGACUGAGACAUACUGUCGGCCGGCCUUGCCAUUGCCAUCAUCAGAUACCAUUUGCACGUGUGUGUCAUGCGCUGGCGUUGGUGAGAUUUCUUGGUCUUCAGUUUUGCUACCCCCAUCUGUAAUUACUCUACAACUAAGAUUAAGCAGCUUUUCUAUCUGGACAUUGGUGCAUAAAUUCCUCGGGUAAAUGAAUCUGAAAUAGCAGCUUAGUCUUAGUUGUAGAUGCUAGCGAGGGUGUUACCACACCAUGAUUAUACAUCACUAUACUGAAGGUAGGUAGAGAUGUUUAGGGUGUCCCUUUCGCUGAUGAAUAUUAGUCAAUAGGUAUUAGAACUCGAUCAAUUACAUGAGAAGUUUUUGUGUUACUUUUUUGUGGAGAGCGUUGAUAGCUGGAGAUUGUUGAAACAGUUUGUUUAUUCGAAUUAGAUCCUGAAGAUUUUCAUUGUAAAUUCUACUGGUUGUUUGAUUGAAUUAAAUUAUUUAAAUUUAAAUGCGUUGUGCCUCUGAACUCUUUUCUCAA